ACCCGCUGAACUUAAGCAUAUCAAUAAGCGGAGGAAAAGAAACCAACAGGGAUUGCCCUAGUAACGGCGAGUGAAGCGGCAACAGCUCAAAUUUGAAAUCUGGCCUCUUUUGGGGUCCGAGUUGUAAUUUGCAGAGGGCGCUUUGGCGUUGGCAGCGGUCCAAGUUCCUUGGAACAGGGCGUCACAGAGGGUGAGAAUCCCGUACGUGGUCGCUGGCCUUCGCCGUGUAAAGCCCCUUCGACGAGUCGAGUUGUUUGGGAAUGCAGCUCUAAAUGGGAGGUAAAUUUCUUCUAAAGCUAAAUACUGGCCAGAGACCGAUAGCGCACAAGUAGAGUGAUCGAAAGAUGAAAAGCACUUUGGAAAGAGAGUCAAACAGCACGUGAAAUUGUUGAAAGGGAAGCGCUUGCAGCCAGACUUGCCUGUAGUUGCUCAUCCGGGCUUUUGCCCGGUGCACUCUUCUAUAGGCAGGCCAGCAUCAGUUUGGGCGGUUAGAUAAAGGUCUCUGUCAUGUACCUCUCUUCGGGGAGAACUUAUAGGGGAGACGACAUGUAACCAGCCCAGAUUGAGGUCCGCGCAUUUGCUAGGAUGCUGGCGUAAUGGCUGU
rnacentral:rRNA from 1 species